rnacentral:lncRNA from 1 species
CUAUAUAUCCUGUUGAGAUGAGAGCAUAUAUGUCGCCUUGAAGGAGACAAGUCCACUUAUCGAAACGUUGGCUCCUGCUGUCACCUUGUUCUCGUGUCGCUCAUCGUCUUGAAUUUCCAUC